AACGAACGCUGGCGGCAGGCCUAACACAUGCAAGUCGAGCGCCCAGCAAUGGGAGCGGCAGACGGGUGAGUAACGCGUGGGAACCUUCCCAAUGGUACGGAAUAGCUCAGGGAAACUUGAGGUAAUACCGAAUAAGCCCGAAAGGGGAAAGAUUUAUCGCCAUUGGAUGGGCCCGCGUAGGAUUAGCUAGUUGGUGAGGUAAUGGCUCACCAAGGCGACGAUCCUUAGCUGGUUUGAGAGAAUGACCAGCCACACUGGGACUGAGACACGGCCCAGACUCCUACGGGAGGCAGCAGUGGGGAAUAUUGGACAAUGGGCGCAAGCCUGAUCCAGCGAUGCCGCGUGUGUGAAGAAGGCCUGCGGGUUGUAAAGCACUUUCAGUAGGGAAGAAAGACCGAGUGCUAAUAUCACUCGUCUUGACGUUACUUACAGAAGAAGCACCGGCUAACUCCGUGCCA
rnacentral:rRNA from 1 species